CUGGGAAUUGAACCCAGGUCCCCUGGAAGAGCAGUCUGUGCUCCUAACUGCUGAGCCAUCUCACCAGCCUCUCUUUUUACUGGUUUUUAAAAGAGUGGAACUGGUAGAGUGGGAUGCUAUGGAACCGAAGCCAGUGUCCCUUAAAGGGCCGUGCUGACCUGUGACCACACAGCAAGUGUCAGCCCCCGACUCAGCUGUGGGGUCAGCACGUCAGAGCUGAGGUCCAGUCUUCAUACUGCG